rnacentral:rRNA from 1 species
GCAAGUCGAGCGCUCUCUUCGGAGGGAGCGGCGGACGGGUUAGUAACGCGUGGGAACGUGCCCUUCUCUAAGGAAUAGCCACUGGAAACGGUGAGUAAUACCUUAUACGCCCUUCGGGGGAAAGAUUUAUCGGAGAAGGAUCGGCCCGCGUUAGAUUAGAUAGUUGGUGGGGUAAAGGCCUACCAAGGCUACGAUGUUUAGCUGGUCUGAGAGGAUGAUC